AGCAAAAUAACCACUUUCAGUUGGAGUUUCACCUGAAUAAGGACUGCAGGACCAGGAAUGAUAAUUGAUAUAAUUCAGAGAAGGAAGAUUAUUUGGUCACAAACGCGUACCUCAGAUGGUGACCUGUGACUGUGCUUUUUAGAAGAGUGGUGCUGAGCCCUACCUUGUCAGCCAGUGAAGAGGAUUUGAAACCAGGAACUGUAAAGGAAUGUUUUGAAGCAGCUGGAAUCCUGGUACUGGCUGCAGAGCCAGUGCUCAUCAUGGCAAUUCUGGAGGAAGACUGUUCAGAUCUGGGCAGAUUUUGUUUACCCAGAUUAGAAGUGGUUUCAUAGACUUGUUCAGAAGAAAAAGUUUCAAGAGAGUCUCUCUUGUCUGUUGUGAUUUUUUUUAAAAAAAUGAACAGCAAAUUGAACAUUUGUCUAUGAUGUGCCCCUUACCAAGGCAAAAUAAACAUUUUGAGUGACGGUCA